rnacentral:rRNA from 1 species
UGCUUAGCCCUAAACUAAAGCAGCAAAAACAACAAUACUGCUCGCCAGAGAACUACUAGCAACAGCUUAAAACUCAAAGGACUUGGCGGUGCUUUAUAUCCCUCUAGAGGAGCCUGUUCUGUAAUCGAUAAACCCCGAUAAACCUCACCAGUCCUUGCUAAUACAGCCUAUAUACCGCCAUCUUCAGCAAACCCUAAAAAGGAGCCAUAGUAAGCAAAAUCAUGAAGCAUAAAAACGUUAGGUCAAGGUGUAGCCUAUGGACUGGGAAGAAAUGGGCUACAUUUUCUAAUAUAGAACACAAACGAAAAUUUUCGUGAAACCGAAAAUAGAAGGAGGAUUUAGUAGUAAAUUAAGAAUAGAGAGCUUAAUUGAAUAAGGCCAUG